rnacentral:rRNA from 2 species
UAUCUAUUUAUACAUAUAAUUAGAUUGAAAGAUGGUUCUGCUAUCACUUACAGAUGGGCCCGCGGCGCAUUAGCUAGUUGGUGAGGUAACGGCUCACCAAGGCGACGAUGCGUAGCCGACCUGAGAGGGUGAUCGGCCACACUGGGACUGAGACACGGCCCAGACUCCUACGGGAGGCAGCAGUAGGGAAUCUUCCGCAAUGGACGAAAGUCUGACGGAGCAACGCCGCGUGAGUGAUGAAGGUUUUCGGAUCGUAAAACUCUGUUGUUAGGGAAGAACAAGUAUCGGAGUAACUGCCGGUACCUUGACGGUACCUAACCAGAAAGCCACGGCUAACUACGUGCCAGCAGCCGCGGUAAUACGUAGGUGGCAAGCGUUGUCCGGAAUUAUUGGGCGUAAAGCGCGCGCAGGCGGUUCCUUAAGUCUGAUGUGAAAGCCCACGGCUCAACCGUGGAGGGUCAUUGGAAACUGGGGAACUUGAGUGCAGAAGAGGAAAGUGGAAUUCCAAGUGUAGCGGUGAAAUGCGUAGAGAUUUGGAGGAACACCAGUGGCGAAAGCGACUUUCUGGUCUGUAACUGACGCU